UACGUAGGGUGCAAGCGUUAUCCGGAAUUAUUGGGCGUAAAGAGCUCGUAGGCGGUUUGUCGCGUCUGCUGUGAAAACUGGGGGCUCAACCCCCAGCCUGCAGUGGGUACGGGCAGACUAGAGUGUGGUAGGGGAGAUCGGAAUUCCUGGUGUAGCGGUGAAAUGCGCAGAUAUCAGGAGGAACACCGAUGGCGAAGGCAGUUCUCUGGGCCGUAACUGACGCUGAGGAGCGAAAGCGUGGGGAGCGAACAGG
rnacentral:rRNA from 1 species